UACGGGGGGGGCAAGCGUUGUUCGGAAUUACUGGGCGUAAAGGGUUUGUAGGUGGCUUGCUAAGUCAGACGUGAAAUCCCUCAGCUUAACUGGGGAACUGCGUCUGAUACUGGCAAGCUUGAGUGCAGGAGAGGAACGCGGAAUUCCAGGUGUAGCGGUGAAAUGCGUAGAUAUCUGGAGGAACACCGGUGGCGAAGGCGGCGUUCUGGACUGCAACUGACACUGAGAGACGAAAGCCAGGGGAGCAAACGGG
rnacentral:rRNA from 1 species